GAUCAUGGCUCAGGAUGAACGCUAGCUACAGGCUUAACACAUGCAAGUCGAGGGGCAGCAUGGUCUUAGCUUGCUAAGACUGAUGGCGACCGGCGCACGGGUGAGUAACACGUAUCCAACCUGCCCAUCACUUGGGAAUAACCUUGCGAAAGUAAGACUAAUACCCAAUGAUAUCCCACGAAGGCAUCCGAAUGGGAUUAAAGAUUUAUCGGUGAUGGAUGGGGAUGCG
rnacentral:rRNA from 1 species